rnacentral:tRNA from 1 species
GAUAGAGUGACUGAAACUAGGUGAUUGAUUGUAAAUCAUUUUAUGGGAUUGUACCCCUCUAUUA